rnacentral:misc_RNA from 1 species
GUAGGUGAACCUGCGGAAGGAUCAUUAUUGAAACUUGAAUCGUAGCAUCGAGAACUGUUGCUGACCUGUUAAAGGGUAUGUGCACGUUCGACGUGUUGCGUUCUAUUCAUCCACCUGUGCACCUUUGUAGACUUGAUUAACUUUCGCUCUUGAGCGGUUAGAAGGGUUGCUUUCGAGCUCCCUUUGUCUAUCAAGUCUAUGUCUAUAUAAUCUCUUGUAUGUCUAGAAUGUCUUGUUUAUGGGACGCAAG